rnacentral:rRNA from 1 species
AGGAUUAACGCUGGCGGCGUGCCUAACACAUGCAAGUCGAACGAGGGGGGCAACCCCCGAGUGGCAGACGGGUGAGUAACGCGUGGUCAACCUACCCUAGAGUGGGGAAUAACUAGCCGAAAGGUUAGCUAAUACCGCAUGAUACGUUUUGGGACAUCCCAGGACGUUGAAAGGAGCAAUCCGCUCGAGGACGGGACCGCGUCCGAUUAGCUAGUUGGUGAGGUAACGGCCCACCAAGGCUCCGAUCGGUAGCUGGUUUGAGAGAGCGACCAGCCACACUGGGACUGAGAAACGGCCCAGACUCCUACGGGAGGCAGCAGUGAGGAAUUUUCCGCAAUGGGCGAAAGCCUGACGGAGCGACGCCGCGUGUGGGAAGAAGGCCUUCGGGUCGUAACCACUGUCGAAGGGGACUAUACUGAAGGUACCCUUGGAGGAAGCCCGGCUAACUACGUGCCAGCAGCCGC